AGCAGAGCCAGCUGCAGGAAAGGGAGCGCUGCCUUCGGAGCUCCGGCACCACCUUCCUCCCUUCCUCUCCGGCUUGGACUUGGGUGCAAAAGGGAAAGAAGGAAGGAAGGAAAGGGGGCACUGUCAAGAUGGCAGCAGCAGAAGCAGCAGCAGCGAGGAGGCUAUGAAUGCAGUGCCGCCGUGGGUGCAGCAGGGAGAAAACCUUGCGAAGGAGGAAGAGAAGGGGGAGGAGGAGGACUUCGGAGCUCCCUCUCUCCGGACCUGUUGGGGAAAGACCCGCCUGAGGUUGGGGCUGCUGCUGCUGCGGCUUGGGACUCUCUCGCUCUCUCUCCCCGAAAGAGGAUUGGAGGGCAGAAGCAGCAAGGAGAACAACAACUGAGGUCUCCCCUCUUGCGUUUGGGUGUAUUUUUUGGCGGAGAAAGGAGCUGCUUUUACUGCAGGGCGCGAUCGGGUGCUUUUGAACCAGCCUUUGAAAAAGGAAAAGGAGAAGACCCUUCCUGGGACCGAGGCGCCUUCUUCUCCCCGCUUUUUCCUUCUCCCGCGUUGUGGGAAAUGGGUCCGGGGUCCCUCUUCUUUCACGGAGGAUGCUGCCAUUGGAGGAAUCCGGCGCCGCGGAGUGAAAGAUAAACAAACAACACGGUUUGCUUUUGCUGACGCCGCGCUGGAGGUUUCGCUGGGAGGUCCGUCCCAUUGCUUUUGAGGGAAGGAAGACUCCGCUGAGGGGCAUCUUCUUUCUUUCUUUCUUCCCUAACCAGAAGGGGACUAAAAAGGACCGCACUCAGAAGGCUUCUUUUCCUUCCUUACCUCCUUAGUGGAGAUUUCGAUUUCCCAGUUGCCGUGUUUGCAUUGAAAAAGGGGGCGACCGGAGUGGCCUUGGCCCCUUCCUUCCCUUGACCACCAACAGACGUCUCCUCCUGUGCAAGACGAGGUGCAUUAUUCAGUCCCUUUCGGAUCCAGAAGAUGUGGUUUCUCCCUAAAAGCAGGGGAGAUUACUCCGAAACAUAGAAACUAUACCCACUUUUCAAACCAGAAGGGGGAAAAAAGGACCGAAAUUCUCCAGUCGGAAGCCCGGAGAGUGGAGGGCUCCUUUUUCUCCCAUGCCCCCUCCUCUGUGAUUUCCAUUUCCCAGUUGCUUUUCCAACCCAGCCGCAAAAGGAGGCGGCUGAGGUGAGUCUUCAGUAGUUGUUUUCCUCCCUUUCUUCCCGAUGGGACCUCGGAUUGUGGGAGAGAGGCCUUUUUCUUCCUCCGAGCAGUGAAAAGGGAGCUUUUGCGGGCGACUGAAGCGGUUGGUCUUCUUCCCUCCCUCCCUUCCUUCCCGGGACCUCGGGUUGUGGGCUAGAGAGAGGUCUUUGCCUGCCUUCACCCAGAGAAAAGCGUGUUCCUUUCCCUUACACUUCAAGCAGGAGGAGCUUGGAUGGAGAGUGGCGCCUUCUCCGGGCCUCGGUGAGCCUUCUCUCGGUCUCUUUCUCUCGUGGAGAGACCUUUCUUUCGGCGUGUCCUUCCUUUCGAGCAGGAUGGCAGAGCCGUCUCCGCCGUCGCCGCUGGACGUGGAGCUGGACCCGGACUUCGAGCCCCAGAGCCGCCCGCGGUCCUGCACGUGGCCCCUGCAGAGGCCCGAGCUGCAGGCCCAGCCCGGAGGGGGGAGGCG
rnacentral:lncRNA from 1 species